rnacentral:rRNA from 1 species
CGGAGGGGCUAGCGUUAUUCGGAAUUAUUGGGCGUAAAGGGCGCGUAGGCGGCCCGGUAAGUCAAAGGUGAAAUCCCUCGGCCCAACUGAGGAACUGCCUUUGAAACUGUCGGGCUUGAGGCCGGGAGGGGGUAGCGGAAUUCCCAGUGUAGCGGUGAAAUGCGUAGAUAUUGGGAGGAACACCGGUGGCGAAGGCGGCUACCUGGACCGGUUCUGACGCUGAUGCGCGAAAGCGUGGGUAGCAAACAGGAUUAGAUACCCUGGUAGUCCACGCUGUAAACGAUGGGUGCUCGGUGUCGCGGGUAUCGACCCCUGCGGUGCCUUAGCUAACGCGUUAAGCACCCCGCCUGGGGAGUACGGUCGCAAGGCUG